GGAAUAUUGCACAAUGGGGGAAACCCUGAUGCAGCGACGCCGCGUGAGUGAAGAAGUAAUUCGUUACGUAAAGCUCUAUCAGCAGGGAAGAAAAUGACGGUACCUGAGUAAGAAGCCCCGGCUAACUACGUGCCAGCAGCCGCGGUAAUACGUAGGGGGCAAGCGUUAUCCGGAUUUACUGGGUGUAAAGGGAGCGCAGACGGUACGCCAAGUCUGAAGUGAAAUGCCGCAGCUUAACUGCGGAACUGCUUUGGAAACUGGCGGGCUGGAGUGCGGGAGGGGUAAGCGGAAUUCCUAGUGUAGCGGUGAAAUGCGUAGAUAUUAGGAGGAACACCAGUGGCGAAGGCGGCUUACUGGACUGUAACUGACGUUGAGGCUCGAAAGCGUGGGGAGCAAAC
rnacentral:rRNA from 1 species